rnacentral:rRNA from 1 species
GACGAACCGUACGAGCGUUGUCCGGAAUUAUAGGGCGUAAAGAGCUCGUAGGCGGUUUGUCGCGUCUGCCGUGAAAGUCCGGGGCUCAACUCCGGAUCUGCGGUGGGUACGGGCAGACUAGAGUGAUGUAGGGGGGACUGGAAUUCCUGGUGUAGCGGUGAAAUGCGCAGAUAUCAGGAGGAACACCGAUGGCGAAGGCAGGUCUCUGGGCAUUAACUGACGCUGAGGAGCGAAAGCAUGGGGAGCGAACAGG